CGGCGGCAGGCUUUGGUUCCAGCCGACAGAGGUUCCAAAUGGCACUUUGGUCAGGAGAAUUUUACAAGUUGCUUAUCAGGCCAAAUGUGGUGAUUCGGAUUUACCGGGGACCAGUAAAAGCACUGGAAAAGGUCACUAGCCGCCGGCAAAAGAUUUAGCGAUGCCUCAUUUUUCGGCGUUUGUCUAGCCACCACAAUAACUUUUACCGGUGGUUUUUUUUUUUUUUACUUUUACCGACAUUUUUUACCACCGAUGAAGGUCAUUGUUCCCGUAGUGUUAUGUGAUGAGAUUGUACUUAAACAUGUGAUAUGGUAGUGUGUAAUGUGAUGAGGUUACACUUGAGAAUGUGAAACAGUUGAUGGACUAUGUGAUGAGAUUACA